GUCCAGACUCCUACGGGAGGCAGCAGUGGGGGAUAUUGCACAAUGGGGGAAGCCCUGAUGCAGCGACGCCGCGUGGGUGAAGAAGCGCCUCGGCGCGUAAAGCCCUGUCAGCAGGGAAGAAAAUGACGGUACCUGAAGAAGAAGCCCCGGCUAACUACGUGCCAGCAGCCGCGGUAAUACGUAGGGGGCAAGCGUUAUCCGGAUUUACUGGGUGUAAAGGGGGCGCAGACGGCGAUGCAAGCCAGGAGUGAAAGCCCGGGGCCCAACCCCGGGACUGCUCUUGGAACUGCGUGGCUGGAGUGCAGGAGGGGCAGGCGGAAUUCCUGGUGUAGCGGUGAAAUGCGUAGAUAUCAGGAGGAACACCGGUGGCGAAGGCGGCUUGCUGGACUGAAACUGACGCUGAGGCUCGAAAGCGUGGGGAGCAAACAGGAUUAGAUACCCUCGUA
rnacentral:rRNA from 1 species